rnacentral:lncRNA from 1 species
AGCUGUGGCACUUGGCUGCAAUGCUGAGCUGUAAAACUCAGCCAUGCCUCUGAGCUGUGGCACUUAGCUGAGACACUAAGCUGGAACACUUGGCUGUAGCACUGAGCUGCUCUGCUCUGCUGCAAUAGUUUUGCAGGAUGUCUCAGUCUGCGUUGGAAGUUGUGGUCUUUUAUGGCUUGAAACACUUCACUUCAUACUCUCCUGGCCUUUCAGAAUAUCGCCUACAAGGCUCCUAAGGCAGAGAAGCUCAGCUGGUCCCAGCACGCGGAAGGAAGCUCCCCGCCUCCACCCCAGGCUCCUAGGGCAGAGCAGCUCAGCCAGUCCCAGUACUCAGAAGGAAGCUCCCCACCUCCAUCCCAGGCUCCUAGGGCAGAGAAGCUCAGCCGGUCCCAGCACCCAGAAGGAAGCUCCCUCGCUGCCAUACCAGGCUUCUAGGGCAGAGAAGGUGAGCCGGUCCCAGCACCCGGGAGGAAGCUCCCCACCUCCAUCCCAGGCUCCUAG